UUUACCUCCUCCAGUAAAUGCUUUUCCUCCAUUUUUUCUGUUGUAUCUCAAAGUUGAAGCUAUUAAGUUGGGUUAUCUAUCAAUUCAAGCGCUUGCUAUCACAAUUGAAUCAAAGUCGACAACAACCAUACUGAUGAUCUCCAAGGCCGAGUCCAAGCACGUCGAUCAAAGGAUACUAUGGCGCUAUGCGUGCUGGGAAGUAAUUGGUUUUUAUUUAACUAAAAAUUGAUUGGGAUGCUUUGUUAAUAUUGGAUACAUAGCGACACAUAUCUAAUUCAUAUUUGCAAAGCUGUUUUAAUUGUUAAACUAAUGUUAAUGAUUGAUGAUAAAGACCUUCUUCGUAUAUACAGUGAUUAUCUUUGUUUCAAUUGUCAGGUUGGACAAGAAUUUUCCGGAAAUGAGUUGUAAAAUACAGUAUAAAACUAGUGGAUAGCUAUGAUGCAAAAGACUCCAUGAUGUCUAAAUCUACCAUACACCACAGCUUAGAUGAGCCACUAGUUUCUCUCAUGAAGUCGCAGGGCAGAUAGACUUGAAGACUCAUAGGGACUAUCUCAAUAGAAGAAGAAAGGGCUAACCUUUAGGGGAAGGAUUGAAUUGCAAGCCUCUUCAUCAGUAGCAGGGAGAAGAGAGCUAACUUGAACAUUGAAAGUGAUCAUUGGGCUGAGCUUUGACAAAACAUUGGCAACUAGUAGUACAAAUACAAAUUGGUUCAUUCAUCCCUUUUAAGAAGAAAAGAGUGACGAAGAAUGCUCUGCGCCUCUGCAAGACUGCAGCUUAGUAAAUAGACAAUGGGAGAAUUUGGAUGGAGAUAUCCUUGGAAUAAUAUACUCUUAUGUACCUGUUAAAAGGACUACUUUUUCCUGAAUGGCUGAAUGUGGCCUCUGGCAGACUGCCAACUGGGAUUAUUUGUAUUGGAAGCAUAAUGUUCUCGACUUGGGUGUCUGUUGGACUUGAAUUGUUGAUAUAACAGAUUUAGUGUCACUAAAGUCAUUCAAAUCAAGAAUUGCUAGCUUGUCUUGAGCAUGAGAAGAAGCUAAUGAACAUGAGAAUAAGCUUUCCAAAAUGAAGAACAAGAACGUACAGGAAGACUGAUUGGGGGAUUAAACAAGGAUGAACUGGUUAAGAGUAACCAUUUUGGGAUGAAAAUCUGUGUAUGUGAAUUUGUGUCUGUUGUUGUGAGUUUCACUUUCGUGAAACUAUUUGGGUAGUUUAGGUAGUGUUUAGCUAGGUAAAUGGUCUCGUACCAAUCAACUAGUAUAAGUAUUAUAUCUUUUGUAAUUCCUUAUGUAAUGUCAGUGUUGUUUUGAAUAUUGCCAUGAAUGAAAAGGGAUAUUGUGAAUUUG